rnacentral:lncRNA from 1 species
AAAGGCCUGUUCUAACGUUUGUGUUUGGGGCCAUGUUUGGAGCUUUCAUCACUAGACCUAGCCCCCAAUGUUGCCAUUGUCAUCACGACCAUGAAGGUCGCAAGCAUUCACCUGGGCCUCUCCAAUCCAUUGACAACAAGAAGAUUGGUUCAAACCAAGGAGUCGAAGUUACAACAAUACCCUCAACAACUCCAAGCAUGGAAAACUAG